rnacentral:rRNA from 1 species
CUUCACUUCGGUGAGGAGCGGCGGACGGGUUAGUAACGCGUGGGAACAUACCCUUUUCUACGGAAUAGCCUCGGGAAACUGAGAGUAAUACCGUAUACGCCCCUCGGGGGAAAGAUUUAUCGGUGAAGGAUUGGCCCGCGUUAGAUUAGUUAGUUGGUGGGGUAACGGCCUACCAAGACGACGAUCUAUAGCUGGUUUGAGAGGAUGAUCAGCAACACUGGGACUGAGACACGGCCCAGACUCCUACGGGAGGCAGCAGUGGGGAAUCUUAGACAAUGGGCGCAAGCCUGAUCUAGCGAUGCCGCGUGAGUGAUGAAGGCCUUAGGGUCGUAAAGCUCUUUCGCCAGGGAUGAUAAUGACAGUACCUGGUAAAGAAACCCCGGCUAACUCCGUGCCAGCAGCCGCGGUAAUACGGAGGGGGUUAGCGUUGUUCGGAAUUACUGGGCGUAAAGCGUACGUAGGCGGAUCAGAAAGUAAGGGGUGAAAUCCCGAGGCUCAACCUCGGAACUGCCUCUUAAACUCCUGGUCUUGAGUUCGAGAGAGGUGAGUGGAAUUCCAAGUGUAGAGGUGAAAUUCGUAGAUAUUUGGAGGAACACCAGUGGCGAAGGCG